rnacentral:piRNA from 1 species
UACUGAGUUGGCCAACAUGGACAUUUCUGU